UCCACCACCUCCCACUUCCCUGCCUGCCCUCACUCUGCCACCUCCCGCUGUCAGGGUCGUGUUGUGUCAGAUGCCCUCACUCCAAGACAGCCUCUGGAAAACUGCCAGCCCAAUCCAGUUUCCUGUUAGGCUCGGUCACAGCCAGCUCUGAAGAGAAUGGACGAGGUCCAGGGACUCCAAGCAGGCCACAUCUGGAUCCUCUGGAGCUAGGCGGGUAUUGGUUGAAACUCAGGGAAAACUUUAUCAACCUACUUUAAUGGCUGAAACUUGUGGCAAUCCUCCUGCCUCAGACUCCUAAGGGAUGGGAUUAGAUAUGCACUGCCACACCUGGCUUCAAUUUCAUGCAUGUUAUGUGUGCUCACGUGUGUAUACAGACACAUGUAGAGGUGAGGACUCUCACUGACGUGGCUAUCUCCUCAGCCGCUGACUGCACUUUGAUUGCCUUUCUCCUUCCUCCCCUGAACUGAGAACACCUCCUGUGUUGUCCCCUGCCCCUGCCAGCGCCGCCCCACUGCCCCCACCGGUAGCUCAUUCAUUCUCCAAGCUCCGAACCUUAUUCCUUUAUUAAAGACUUUGUCCGUUUCCUAAAUAUCCAGGCCUUCCAUCCCUGCCACCUGGGCACUGAGCCAUCACCUCCACCCAAGCAGAAUUAAAGCCCUAUUCCCUGAGCGUGCCGAUUCCUUCCCCAUUGGCCCCCUCCUCAUAACACCGCCCGUCUCCUGGUCACUCGGGUUUGUAAUUGGGACGAGCCACCUCCUCUCUCCCCUCUCCCCUCCCAAGUCCUGAGCAAGUCUUCUGUUACCUGGUGCUGCUUUCACCACACAGCUUCCCCGCUUGCUUUCCUACCCAUCUGAGCCCCUCCGUGUCGCUGCCAAGGCCAUCGCGGUCCGAUCCACACCCGUGAGGAAACCAGUAAGCUGUGCGUUCGCCAUCUCAAUUCACCUCACGGCGCGAGCCGCAAGUCCAGGCACAGCUUGCCCUUAUCUUGUCAGCUGGUGACUGUGAUGGGCACAAGGUGACACCAGGACAAACGGACAUCCAGAAGGACCCGGCUCUUCAGGCUUGUCUUCUGCAAAGUUCACUGGAGCCUGGCCGCCUGCUUCCGGCUUCAGCUCCCCAGCUGCUCCAGCUCUUGGGAGGGCCUGCUCCUGAAGCUGUUCAAUGCUUCAGCGCUCACAAAGUGAAAAUGUCUGUCCUUGUUUGCGCUUAAUAGGAAGGAAAUGCUUGGAGCAGAAUGCAGGCCACGGGAAGUUCGGUGCGAGUACAGGGGGCAGACUGGGCAGACAAACCAUACUGAAGGUCUGAGUGCCGGCCCUUUGGGGGUUCAGCAGGGAGUUGAUGCUCAACCUGAACCACAAAAUUCCCAAACCGAGCCACCAUUUGAAAUAGAAAUAAUUUCUAAAUGGGGGGACGGGGUCCAGCACAGUGCACAGAACUUUCCAGGUUCCCCCAAGCAGUAUUCCAAGACUAAUCCCCCGCCCCCAACCUCUACCAAGCUUCCUUCUGUGUGACUAUGGCUGUACAUGCACAUGUGGGAACCAGGCCAACCUCAGCUGUAUUCCCCAGGUGCCACCCACCCUGUCUUUGAGUCAUAGCUGUAAUUUGGCCUGGAGCUCACCAGAGGCUAGCUGGCUGGGUCCUGGGACCCACUGACCAUUGGGAUUAUGUGUGUGGGCUGGCUUCUACUUUUCACGUGGAUGCUGGGAAUCAAACUCAAGUCCUCUGACUGAGCCUCUCCCUGGAGCCUCUACCACAGGUUUCUACGGCCGUUCAAAAGCCUAUCCUCGUCGCUGCUUCUUCUCAGUCUCAUUGUAGACUCUCCUGAGGCAAGAAGGGAGCAGCCGGAGAGAGGCUUCUGCACAAACCGGGACUUGGGUCCCUAACCUCACAAGUCCCUGUGGAAGCAGCUCUCCCCCCAUUUCAGAGCUAUCCUGAGUCCCUUCCCUUCCACAGGCUGACUCAAUUUCAGAACACAUGGAGAAAAGCAUUCUCACACACUGAUGGAGAAGCAGAAUUCAAACAAUAAAAACCCAGAAAUGUAAUGACUGGAGGAGGUGCUGAGCCAGCUCCUGGGCUGCCCUCCUGAGAACAAGGCCUGCGGCACCGCUGUCAGCUGCUGUCCCCAAUCUUUCCAAGUAUUUGGGAUCCAAUCAUGUCUAAUAUCUUCAAAAGGAUGGGAUUUGCUUCUCCACCUGAGUCGUGAGGAAUGACAGGGAAGGCCUGCACUCAGAGAACUGUGUGAGAAAACCACAGAGACUGAAGAUAAGAACACCUGAAGCUGCUUUUGACUACAGAUGAGAACUACUACCCACAAAUACAGGAGCUGCAUCACAACGGUCAUCUCGUUCACUAGUAAAAUCCAGUAUGAUGGAGCAGACUGGGGAGGCAGGGUGCUCAUGGAGAAGGCCAUCAGUUGCCCCAAGCCUUGCCAUCUUGGAAAUCCAGGUACUAAUAAAAACAAAAGUCUUGAGUAAGGUGUGAUCAUUUAUUCAUUCAACAAACAUUUCCUAAUGUUGCAGCCUGUGAGCUGCAAGCCCAUGCUAAUCACCUCCAAUACACUUAACAAUGACAUUCGAGUGUGGCUUUGGUCUUCGUUCGCAUCAGACAGGUCCUCAGUCUUACUGCAGCUGGCUGGGCCUGUCAAGCUGCAGUCAAUAGCUCUAUAGAGAAAGUACAAACACCACCUGCAGAUGGAAACACUUGGCCAAGGGACCGCACCAUGUGGGCGAGUAGAAUUCUGCAGGAGGGAUCCAGACAAGAAAAUGGCGAGGUUCAGAUGCAGCAGUCCACAGCCAGCAUGGGGCACCUUUAAAGGCUUCCUGGUGCUAUUCACUUUGAAAGCAU